rnacentral:rRNA from 1 species
AUGCUGACAUAAGUAACGAUAAAGCGGGUGAAAAGCCCGCUCGCCGGAAGACCAAGGGUUCCUGUCCAACGUUAAUCGGGGCAGGGUGAGUCGACCCCUAAGGCGAGGCCGAAAGGCGUAGUCGAUGGGAAACGGGUUAAUAUUCCCGUACUUGGUGUUACUGCGAAGGGGGGACGGAGAAGGCUAUGUUGGCCGGGCGACGGUUGUCCCGGUUUAAGCGUGUAGGUGUGUGUUCCAGGUAAAUCCGGUUCACUUUAACACUGAGGCGUGACGACGAGGCACUACGGUGCUGAAGCAACAAAUGCCCUGCUUCCAGGAAAAGCCUCUAAGCAUCAGGUAACAUCAAAUCGUACCCCAAACCGACACAGGUGGUCAGGUAGAGAAUACC